rnacentral:rRNA from 1 species
CCCUUAGAUGUUCUGGGCCGCACGCGCGCUACACUGAUGCAUUCAACGAGUCUAAAACCUGCUCUGAUAGGGGUGGGUAAUCUUUUGAAUGUGCAUCGUGAUUGGGAUAGAUGAUUGCAAUUUUUCAUCUUCAACGAGGAAUGCCUAGUAAACGCAAGUCAUCAGCUUGCAUUGAUUACGUCCCUGCCCUUUGUACACACCGCCCGUCGCUCCUACCGAUUGAAUGAUCCGAUGAAUAUCAUGGAUUGAGGAUGUAAGCAGGUUCGCCGGUCUUCAUCUUCGAGAAGUGAAGUAAAUCUUAUCAUUUAGAGGAAGGAGAAGUCGUAACA